UACGAAGGGUGCAAGCGUUAAUCGGAAUUACUGGGCGUAAAGGGUGCGUAGGCGGUUGUUUAAGUCUGUCGUGAAAUCACCGGGCUCAACCUGGGAAUGGCGAUGGAUACUGGACAGCUAGAGUGUGUCAGAGGAUGGUGGAAUUCCCGGUGUAGCGGUGAAAUGCGUAGAGAUCGGGAGGAACAUCAGUGGCGAAGGCGGCCAUCUGGGACAACACUGACGCUGAAGCACGAAAGCGUGGGGAGCAAACAGG
rnacentral:rRNA from 1 species